rnacentral:rRNA from 1 species
AUGAAAUGCACUCUCUACUGGGCAGAUGUUAGCCGAACAACUUUGGUUGAUUGGAAUAAAAGAUGUGUUAUAAUCGAAGGGAUAGCCCAAGGUCUACUGUAUCUCCACAAGCACUCUCGCUUGCGCAUCAUACACAGGGACCUUAAGGCCAGCAACAUUCUCUUGGACCAGGGCAUGAAUCCCAAAAUUUCUGAUUUUGGGCUAGCAAAAAUUUUCAGCUCCAAUAAUACUCAAGGGAGCACAAAGAGGGUGGUGGGAACAUAUGGUUAUAUGGCUCCGGAGUAUGCAUCUGAAGGCAUUUACUCGAUCAAAUCUGAUGUGUUCAGCUUUGGUGUCUUACUUCUCGAGAUCCUUAGCGGACAAAGGAAUUCUGGUUUCCAUCAGCACGAAGACUUUCUUAACCUCCUUGGAUAUUCAUGGCAGCUAUGGGAAGGAGGAAGAUGUUUUGAGCUUCUAGAAGCAUCAAUUGCCAAGGAGAUCCAUGCAGCGGAGGCUAGGAGGUACAUUAACAUUGCACUAAUGUGCGUACAAGAGCACGCAGAUGAUCGACCGACCAUGUCAAAUGUCGUUGCGAUGUUAAACAGCGAGAGUGUUAUUCUUCCAGAGCCUAAACAUCCAGCAUACUUCAGCCUAAGGGUAUCUAAAGUAGAUGAAUCGGGUAAUAAUGACUUAACCGUCUGCAGUAAUAACGAGGUAACCAUCACUGAGGAGCCAGAUGGCAGAUAG